rnacentral:tRNA from 1 species
GCUGUUUUAGCUCAGGGGCAGAGCACUUCCAUGGUAAGGAAGGGGUCGCAAGUUCAAUUCUUGUAAGCAGCACCA